rnacentral:rRNA from 1 species
GAGUUUGAUCCUGGCUCAGAAUCAACGCUGGCGGCAUGCUUAACACAUGCAAGUCGAACGAGAGUAAGGGGGCAACUCUUUACUCUAGUGGCGGACGGGUGAGUAAUACGUAGGGAUCUGCCCUGAAGUGUGGGACAACCCGAGGAAACUCGGGCUAAUACCGCAUAAUCUCUGAGGAGGAAAGCCGGGGACCGUAAGGCCUGGCGCUUUUGGAGGAACCUGCGUCCGAUUAGUUAGUUGGUGAGGUAACGGCUCACCAAGGCAUCGAUCGGUAGGGGAUCUGAGAGGAUGACCCCCCACACUGGUACUGAGACACGGACCAGACUCCUACGGGAGGCAGCAGUAAGGAAUAUUGGUCAAUGGACGCAAGUCUGAACCAGCCAUGCCGCGUGCAGGAAGACGGUCCUCUGGAUUGUAAACUGCUUUUGUUAGGGAAGAAACCCCCGAAUGCGUUCGGGGCUGACGGUACCUAAAGAAUAAGGAUCGGCUAACUCCGUGCCAGCAGCCGCGGUAAUACGGAGGAUCCAAGCGUUAUCCGGAUUUAUUGGGUUUAAAGGGUGCGUAGGCGGCGUUGUAAGUCAGUGGUGAAAGUUUGCAGCUUAACUGUAAAAUUGCCAUUGAUACUGCAGUGCUUGAGUACAGAUGAGGUGGGCGGAAUGUGUCAUGUAGCGGUGAAAUGCAUAGAUAUGACACAGAACACCGAUUGCGAAGGCAGCUCACUAAACUGUAACUGACGCUGAGGCACGAAAGCGUGGGGAUCAAACAGGAUUAGAUACCCUGGUAGUCCACGCCCUAAACGA